rnacentral:rRNA from 1 species
GACGAACGCUGGCGGCGUGCCUAACACAUGCAAGUCGAGCGAGAGACUUCGGUCUCUAGCGGCGGACGGGUGAGUAACACGUGGGUAACCUGCCUCAUAGAGGGGGAUAGCCUUCCGAAAGGAAGAUUAAUACCGCAUAUACUCUCAAUACCACAUGGUAUUUAGAGGAAAGGAGCAAUCCGCUAUGAGAUGGACCCGCGGCGCAUUAGCUAGUUGGUGAGGUAACGGCUCACCAAGGCGACGAUGCGUAGCCGACCUGAGAGGGUGAUCGGCCACAUUGGAACUGAGACACGGUCCAGACUCCUACGGGAGGCAGCAGUGGGGAAUAUUGCACAAUGGGCGAAUGCCUGAUGCAGCAACGCCGCGUGAGUGAUGACGGCCUUCGGGUUGUAAAGCUCUGUCUUUUGGGACGAUAAUGACGGUACCAAAGGAGGAAGCCACGGCUAACUACGUGCCAGCCGCCGCCGUAA